CCUACGGGAGGCAGCAGUGGGGAAUAUUGGGCAAUGGGGGGAACCCUGAUCCAGCGACGCCGCGUGAGUGAAGAAGUAUUUCGGUAUGUAAAGCUCUAUCAGCAGGGAAGAAAGAAAUGACGGUACCUGACUAAGAAGCCCCGGCUAACUACGUGCCAGCAGCCGCGGUAAUACGUGGGGGGCAAGCGUUAUCCGGAUGUACUGGGUGUAAAGGGGGCGGAGACGGCGAUGCAAGUCUGAAGUGAAAGGCGGGGGCCCAACCCCCGGACUGCUUUGGAAACUGUAUGGCUGGAGUGCAGGAGAGGUAAGUGGAAUUCCUAGUGUAGCGGUGAAAUGCGUAGAUAUUAGGAGGAACACCAGUGGCGAAGGCGGCUUACUGGACUGUAACUGACGUUGAGGCUCGAAAGCGUGGGGAGCAAACAGGAUUAGAUACCCCUGUAGUC
rnacentral:rRNA from 1 species